rnacentral:pre_miRNA from 1 species
UUUUCAGUAUAAGUAUGUCCCAUGACUUAUUAGGGACAUACUUAUACUAAAA